rnacentral:tRNA from 1 species
CUCUGGUUAGCUCAGUAAGUAGAGCGCUCCACUAGAAAUGGAGAGGCCCCUUGUUAGAUACCAGGAUUAGGCG